CACAAGACUGAAUCUGGAUCACCAUCUAGUGGCAGACGGGUGAGUAACACGUGGGUGACCUACCUUUUCGUUGGGGAUAACAGUUGGAAACGAUUGCUAAUACCGAAUAAAAUGUAAGAGUCAAUUUUACAUUGAAAGGAGCCUUUAAAGCUUCGCGAUUAGAUGGGCCUGCGGCGUAUUAACUAGUUGGUGAGGUAAUGGCUUACCAAGGUGACGAUGCGUAGCCGAACUGAGAGGUUGAUCGGCCACACUGGAACUGAGACACGGUCCAGACUCC
rnacentral:rRNA from 1 species